rnacentral:rRNA from 1 species
GUUGAACGCUGGCGGCAGGCCUAACACAUGCAAGUCGAGCGGCAGCGGAAAGUAGCUUGCUACUUUGCCGGCGAGCGGCGGACGGGUGAGUAAUGUCUGGGAAACUGCCUGAUGGAGGGGGAUAACUACUGGAAACGGUAGCUAAUACUGCAUAAUGUCGCAAGACCAAAGAGGGGGACCUUCGGGCCUCUUGCCAUCAGAUGUGCCCAGAUGGGAUUAGCUAGUAGGUGGGGUAACGGCUCACCUAGGCGACGAUCCCUAGCUGGUCUGAGAGGAUGACCAGCCACACUGGAACUGAGACACGGUCCAGACUCCUACGGGAGGCAGCAGUGGGGAAUAUUGCACAAUGGGCGCAAGCCUGAUGCAGCCAUGCCGCGUGUAUGAAGAAGGCCUUCGGGUUGUAAAGUACUUUCAGCGGGGAGGAAGGUGUUGAGGUUAAUAACCUCAGCAAUUGACGUUACCCGCAGAAGAAGCACCGGCUAACUCCGUGCCAGCAGCCGCCGCGG